UCCGGAGGUGGCGGGAUGUUUCCCCUGAUUUUCAGACGUUGCCGUCCCUGCGUAUGGGAAGAUGGCGGAGCCGUUCUUUAAUUUUAUUUUAUUUAAAUUGAUGUGUGUCGUCUUUGUGUGAAGGACGUAAAGUAGGCGUUCCUGCAAGCAUAUGGGAUACUUUACCCUUUACGCAGUUUCGAGUCCAUCAUUACUAAAGAGGUAACAAGACUUUGCACCGGGAGCUGACAUGAUCAUUGUGCAUGAUGGACACAACUCAUCAGGCGAUGCGUUUGGUAUGACACACAGACACGUGGUGCCAGCCUCAGUUUUUGUGACUUGCUUGUGGAAGUGCAGUAUUCAGUGAAGAAAUCUAGUGGACAGAGAGAGGAGGUCAGACUCCGAUGAAAACUGUCAGGCAGCAAGUGGGAUCAUGACAAAAGCAAAACGAGGCACCCCCAGUGUUGUCAGGUGGUUGCGUAGCUGGACCAUCACAGCAGUCACAGGGACAAAGGGAUCAAGGUGCUCGAUAUUGUUCAAAGCCUCAGAAUCGACAGCCAUUGAAGCCUCCUACUUACGAUGCUGGCAGAGGAAGGGGAUAAGGAAGCCCCCGAGGAGGUAUUGAAACGUUAA